GGCGGACGGGUGAGGAAUACAUCGGAAUCUACUCUGUCGUGGGGGAUAACGUAGGGAAACUUACGCUAAUACCGCAUACGACCUACGGGUGAAAGCAGGGGAUCUUCGGACCUUGCGCGAUUGAAUGAGCCGAUGUCGGAUUAGCUAGUUGGCGGGGUAAAGGCCCACCAAGGCGACGAUCCGUAGCUGGUCUGAGAGGAUGAUCAGCCACACUGGAACUGAGACACGGUCCAGACUCCUACGGGAGGCAGCAGGU
rnacentral:rRNA from 1 species